rnacentral:rRNA from 3 species
CUGAUGCGUUGUUGGGUAGGGGAGCGUUCUGUAAGCCUGCGAAGGUGGCCUGUGAGGGUUGCUGGAGGUAUCAGAAGUGCGAAUGCUGACAUAAGUAACGAUAAAGCGGGUGAAAAGCCCGCUCGCCGGAAGACCAAGGGUUCCUGUCCAACGUUAAUCGGGGCAGGGUGAGUCGACCCCUAAGGCGAGGCCGAAAGGCGUAGUCGAUGGGAAACGGGUUAAUAUUCCCGUACUUGGUGUUACUGCGAAGGGGGGACGGAGAAGGCUAUGUUGGCCGGGCGACGGUU